rnacentral:rRNA from 1 species
UACGAAGGGGGGCUAGCGUUGUUCGGAAUUACUGGGCGUAAAGCGCACGUAGGCGGCUUUGUAAGUUAGAGGUGAAAGCCCGGGGCUCAACCCCGGAAUUGCCUUUAAGACUGCAUCGCUUGAAUCCAGGAGAGGUGAGUGGAAUUCCGAGUGUAGAGGUGAAAUUCGUAGAUAUUCGGAAGAACACCAGUGGCGAAGGCGGCUCACUGGACUGGUAUUGACGCUGAGGUGCGAAAAGCGUGGGGGAGCAAACAGG